UUUCGGGGACAAAGUGACAGGUGGUGCAUGGUAGUCGUCAGCUCGUGUCGUGAGAUGUUGGGUUAAGUCCCGCAACGAGCGCAACCCUUAUUGUUAGUUGCCAUCAUUUAGUGCUUGCACUCAAUUGAGAAAGAGGAGUGGCAAGACGGGUGAGUAACACGUGGGUAACGUCUACCCAUCAUGAGGGGGAUAACACUUGGCUAAACAGGUGCUACAAUGGACCGCAUAACGAGUCGUUAUGCCGCGAUGGCAUGCAAAACUGAAAGGCGCUUUCCCCGUGUCUCUGAUUGCAGGAUGCGACCCGCGGUGCAUGUAGCCUAUUUGGCGAGUAAUCCCGGAUCUGCACGCCGCGGCCACUACGCUUACCCGACCUUGUACACACGGUCCCCGCC
rnacentral:rRNA from 1 species